UCCUUUACUUUCUCUCUCUCUCUCUCUCUCUCUCUUUCUCUCUCAAUAUGGGGGAAGAUAAUUGGUGAGAAGACUAUCGUGCUGUCUGUCGGCGCUCAGCGAAGUCGUUUGUUUUUGGCCAUACAUCUCACAUUUCUAGGGUUCUGUUGUCACGGAUAAGACUAUUACAGCUAGUCCCUUGGUAUCGAAUAGGUUUAUCAAAUUCAAUUGAAAAGAUCGAUGCCCCAAAUAUUUGCGCGUGUAUUUAGUGUCGAAUUACAAUAAAGAGUAACGUGGCGAUACUUUUAGCUCAAAGACCAUAGAUACAUUGUGUGAACAACCAGUUCGGAGUGCAUGCGUUUGGCAGAGAAUUACUGUUUUUUUUUGUAUAGUCUGAGCCAACCAUUCAGCCUGGAGCCAACCACUCUGUCAGGAGCCAAGUAUUCUGUCUAGAUAAAAGACCCUCAGUCAUUCCGUCAUGAACCAACCAUUCUGUGAGAGACCAUUAACCAUUCUGUCCUGAACCAACUAUUCCGAGAGAAACCUACCGGUCAGUCAGAACCAAUCGCUCUGCUCUGUCAGGAACCAACCAUUCUGUCCGAAACCAACCAUUCUGUCCAGUACAACUGUUAGCUAUAUGUGUAUUCCAGACUUUACAGAAGUCUAGCUUCAAAAAAGUUUUUAAACCAUUAGAAAUGUUGUUUUCACUUGCUGUACAUGUUCUACAUAAUAAAGUAAUAACUAUCUCUAAUUUAGCCUUCCUUGUUUCUCCUAUAUCUUGACAGGCAGUAUGUUUCAUAGAAGCCACUCAUGAAUUUCUUUCUUGUAAUGUUUAAAAAAAUACUAUGACCUCUUGCUGAAAAAUACCCCCCGCUCACUACUGACGCACACAGUUUGUCUAGAUGUUGUUACCCCUGAAAUCUUCCCCCAUCAAUCCACGCCUUUGAAAGUCCGAAAAUGUUUGCUCCUUGCAAGAUAAGAGAAAAAGAAAAGACGCCAAACGUUCAAUGUGGGUGAGAGUAGAAAUAGGUGGGGCGGAGAGGGCGGAAACUUGUGUAACGAAAGAAGAUGAGCUCACCUUUCACCCUGAAUCGAAACCAGGACGGGUGACGUCAUCGAGGUCUACCUCGCAGGUGUUUCGUGUGUGGGAAUUCUAAAUAUUGCUCGAUGCACACACGUGCCAGACAAAUAUUGUGGGAAUAGUCUGUUCAAUAUUUCUUAUGAUGUUACUAUACAAAAACAAUACAGGAGACCUGAUAACUUGAAUUAAACAUUAUCUUUUUUUUUCUAAAGGGGGUUUAUAGUGAAACUGAAAACAGCAUGUGGAUCUAGAUUUACUGUUUAGUUAACGUCGACGUAAUGUAGUGUUUACAUUGGGAUACAAACAACAAGGCGGAUCAGGCCAGUAAGCAAAAACUGUCGCGUCAACAAACCCAUUAUUGUCAUAGACUAAAACCCAGAUCUGGGAUUGUGAUGUUUAAAAAAAAAAAAA
rnacentral:sRNA from 1 species